rnacentral:rRNA from 1 species
GGGGACAACAGCUGGAAACGGCUGCUAAUACCGCAUAUGCGCACAGGGCCGCAUGGCCUGGUGUGGAAAACUCCGGUGGUGUAAGAUGGGCCCGCGUCUGAUUAGGUAGUUGGCGGGGUAACGGCACACCAAGCCGACGAUCAGUAGCCGGCCUGAGAGGGUGGACGGCCACAUUGGGACUGAGACACGGCCCAAACUCCUACGGGAGGCAGCAGUGGGGGAUAUUGCACAAUGGGCGCAAGCCUGAUGCAGCGACGCCGCGUGAGCGAAGAAGUAUUUCGGUAUGUAAAGCUCUAUCAGCAGGGAAGAAAAUGACGGUACCUGACUAAGAAGCUCCGGCUAAAUACGUGCCAGCAGCCGCGGUAAUACGUAUGGAGCAAGCGUUAUCCGGAUUUACUGGGUGUAAAGGGAGCGUAGGCGGCUCUGUAAGUCUGAUGUGAAAAUUUGGGGCUCAACUCCAAACGUGCAUUGGAAACUGCAGGGCUUGAGUGUCGGAGAGGCAGGCGGAAUUCCUAGUGUAGCGGUGAAAUGCGUAGAUAUUAGGAGGAACACCAGUGGCGAAGGCGGCCUGCUGGACGGUAACUGACGCUGAGGCUCGAAAGCGUGGGGAGCAAACAGGAUUAGAUACCCUGGUAGUCCACGCCGUAAACGAUGAA